UACGUAGGGGGCAAGCGUUAUCCGGAAUUACUGGGUGUAAAGGGAGAGUAGGCGGCAUGGUAAGUUAGAUGUGAAAGCCCGAGGCUUAACCUCGGGAUUGCAUUUAAAACUAUCAAGCUAGAGUACAGGAGAGGUAAGUGGAAUUCCUAGUGUAGCGGUGAAAUGCGUAGAUAUUAGGAAGAACACCAGUGGCGAAGGCGACUUACUGGACUGAAACUGACGCUGAGGCUCGAAAGCGUGGGGAGCGAACAGG
rnacentral:rRNA from 2 species